rnacentral:rRNA from 1 species
UCGAGGGGUAUUGUAGCAAUACAAGAGACCGGCGCACGGGUGCGUAACGCGUAUGCAACCUACCUUUUACAGGGGGAUAGCCCAGAGAAAUUUGGAUUAAUACCCCAUGGUGUAUUGAGAUGGCAUCAUUUUGAUACUAAAGUUCCAACGGUAAAAGAUGGGCAUGCGUCCUAUUAGCUAGAUGGUAAGGUAACGGCUUACCAUGGCUACGAUAGGUAGGGGUCCUGAGAGGGAGAUCCCCCACACUGGUACUGAGACACGGACCAGACUCCUACGGGAGGCAGCAGUGAGGAAUAUUGGACAAUGGGCGCAAGCCUGAUCCAGCCAUGCCGCGUGCAGGAAGACGCAUCUAUGGUGUGUAAACUGCUUUUGUACGGGAAGAAACACCUCUACGUGUAGAGGCUUGACGGUACCGUAAGAAUAAGGAUCGGCUAACUCCGUGCCAGCAGCCGCGGUAAUACGGAAGAUCCAAGCGUUAUCCGGAAUCAUUGGGUUUAAAGGGUCCGUAGGCGGUUUGUUAAGUCAGUGGUGAAAGCCCAUCGCUCAACGAUGGAACGGCCAUUGAUACUGCCAGACUUGAAUUACUG